rnacentral:rRNA from 1 species
AGCAUAUCAAUAAGCGGAGGAAAAGAAACUAACAAGGAUUCCCCUAGUAACUGCGAGUGAAGCGGGAAAAGCUCAAAUUUAAAAUCUGGCAGUCUUUGGCUGUCCGAGUUGUAAUCUAGAGAAGUGUUAUCUGCGCUGGACCGUGUACAAGUCUCCUGGAAUGGAGCGUCAUAGAGGGUGAGAAUCCCGUCUUUGACACGGACUACCAGGGCUUUGUGAUGCGCUCUCAAAGAGUCGAGUUGUUUGGGAAUGCAGCUCAAAAUGGGUGGUAAAUUCCAUCUAAAGCUAAAUAUUGGCGAGAGACCGAUAGCGAACAAGUACCGUGAGGGAAAGAUGAAAAGAACUUUGGAAAGAGAGUUAAACAGUACGUGAAAUUGCUGAAAGGGAAACGCUUGAAGUCAGUCACGUUGUCCAGGGAUCAACCUUGCUUUUGCUUGGUGUACUUUCUGGUUGACGGGUCAGCAUCAAUUUUGACUGUUGGAAAAAGGUCAAGGGAAUGUGGCAUCCUCGGAUGUGUUAUAGCCCUUGGUUGUAUACAAUGGUUGGGAUUGAGGAACUCAGCACGCCGCAAGGCCGGGUUUUUAACCACGUACGUGCUUAGGAUGCUGGCAUAAUGGCUUUAAUCGACCCGUCUUGAAACACGGACCAAGGAGUCUAACAUGCCUGCGAGUGUUUGGGUGGAAAACCCGAGCGCGUAAUGAAAGUGAAAGUUGAGAUCCCUGUCGUGGGGAGCAUCGACGCCCGGACCAGACCUUUUGUGACGGUUCCGCGGUAGAGCAUGUAUGUUGGGACCCGAAAGAUGGUGAACUAUGCCUGAAUAGGGUGAAGCCAGAGGAAACUCUGGUGGAGGCUCGUAGCGAUUCUGACGUGCAAAUCGAUCGUCAAAUUUGGGUAUAGGGGCGAAAGACUAAUCGAACCAUCUAGUAGCUGGUUCCUGC